rnacentral:rRNA from 1 species
GGGGGGUGCUAGCGUUAUUCGGAAUCAUUGGGCGUAAAGGGCGCGUAGGCGGUCUUUUAAGUCAGGUGUGAAAGCCCUCGGCUUAACCGAGGAAGUGCAUUUGAUACUAAAAGACUUGAGUAUGGGAGAGGGAAGCGGAAUUCCUGGUGUAGCGGUGAAAUGCGUAGAUAUCAGGAGGAACACCGGUGGCGAAGGCGGCUUCCUGGACCAAUACUGACGCUGAGGCGCGAAGGCGUGGGGAGCAAACAGGAUUAGAUACCCUGGUAGUCCACGCCCUAAACGGUGGGUACUAGGUGUAGGGCUCGCAAGGGUUCUGUGCCGCAGGGAAACCAUUAAGUACCCCGCCUGGGGAGUACGGCCGCAAGGUUA